AGUGAACGCUGGCGGUAGGCCUAACACAUGCAAGUCGAACGGCAGCACAGUAAGAGCUUGCUCUUACGGGUGGCGAGUGGCGGACGGGUGAGGAAUACAUCGGAAUCUACUUUUUCGUGGGGGAUAACGUAGGGAAACUUACGCUAAUACCGCAUACGACCUACGGGUGAAAGCAGGGGAUCUUCGGACCUUGCGCGAUUGAAUGAGCCGAUGUCGGAUUAGCUAGUUGGCGGGGUAAAGGCCCACCAAGGCGACGAUCCGUAGCUGGUCUGAGAGGAUGAGCAGCGACACUGGAACUGAGACACGGUCCAGGCUCCUACGGGAGGCAGCAGUGGGGAAUAUUGGACAAUGGGCGUAAGCGUGAUCCAGCCAUACCGCGUGGGUGAAGAAGGCCUUCGGGUUGUAAAGCCCUUUUGUUGGGAAAGAAAAGCAGCAGGUUAAUACCCCGCUGUUCUGACGGUACCCGAAGAAUAAGCACCGGCUAACUUCGUG
rnacentral:rRNA from 1 species